UCCCUGGUGGUCCAGUGGUUAGGACUCUGCAUGCUCACUGCCGAGGGCCCAGGUUUGAACCCUGGUUGGGGAA